CGUUGGGUAGGGGAGCGUUCUGUAAGCCUGUGAAGGUGUGUCGUGAGGCAUGCUGGAGGUAUCAGAAGUGCGAAUGCUGACAUAAGUAACGAUAAAGCGGGUGAAAAGCCCGCUCGCCGGAAGACCAAGGGUUCCUGUCCAACGUUAAUCGGGGCAGGGUGAGUCGACCCCUAAGGCGAGGCCGAAAGGCGUAGUCGAUGGGAAACGGGUUAAUAUUCCCGUACUUGGUGUUACUGCGAAGGGGGGACGGAGAAGGCUAUGUUGGCCGGGCGACGGUUGUCCCGGUUUAAGCGUGUAGGUGUGUGUUCCAGGUAAAUCCGGUUCACUUUAACACUGAGGCGUGACGACGAGGCACUACGGUGCUGAAGCAACAAAUGCCCUGCUUCCAGGAAAAGCCUCUAAGCAUCAGGUAACACGAAAUCGUACCCCAAACCGACACAGGUGGUCAGGUAGAGAAUACCAAGGCGCUUGAGAGAACUCGGGUGAAGGAACUAGGCAAAAUGGUGCCGUAACUUCGGGAGAAGGCACGCUGACACGUAGGUGAAGUGAUUUACUCAUGGAGCUGAAGUCAGUCGAAGAUACCAGCUGGCUGCAACUGUUUAUUAAAAACACAGCACUGUGCAAACACGAAAGUGGACGUAUACGGUGUGACGCCUGCCCGGUGCCGGAAGGUUAAUUGAUGGGGUCAGCG
rnacentral:rRNA from 1 species